AGUGACAAAUUGAGUUGUGAUUCGUGCGGAGUUGAGUUUCGUUACGGUCCGAGUUUGAGUUGUUUCAAUUAUUUUAUCGCUUUGUCGGUUUGUUUAUUACGUUAAGUGAUUCCAACGAUUCGCGGGGAUCUUAUUGAGUUUCCUCUUCUUUAUUUUUUUCCUUUCUUGACCAUUUUCCUUUAAUUUUUACCCAGACCCGUUUUACAAUUCCAUAGUUAGUGCGGUCUCCCGUUCGAUAUGCAAGAGGCUGAAGCCUCUUGCGAAAGCGAGGAGGGGAUUCCCGAAUCGCUUUCCUCGCCGAACUUUUCGUCUUCUUUAGACAUAUCCGUUCAGCAUAAUUUUUCUUCGGAAAAAAUUAUAGUUCCAUUGGAUCAGUUUUCGGAAUUUGUUUUGCGCCAUGGCAGUACAGAAUCACACGAUCAACAUGGCGUCGCAGAGAGGGCAGCCUCCAGUUAUAAUGGAAGUAAUGUACGAAAACGAGCAUCAAUAGCAGCCUCCGGCAGUCCGGAAAGGAAAAGAGCUUCUGAGACCGCGGAUGCGGAUAAGGCCUUAAAGGGGGGGUCUGAGGUCGGCCCUAGUGAGGGUCAGAACAAACAAGAUAUUCAGGCGAGUCGGGCUUCAAAAAUCAGGUAUUCGUAUUCUGAUAAGCCGCCAUAUUCGGUUUUCAUCCAGCCAACCAUUGAUAAUAAAGAAUCAUUUGUGCAUCCGCGUACUAUUAGCAGAGUUUUGUCCACGAUUACACCUAUAGAGUUGAUUGAGGUUAAGAAGACCGGGCGCGGAAGAGUAGUGGCGGAUUUUCGUACUUUUAGCGCGGCAAAUAGUGUAAUUAAUCAUCCGGAAUUAACAAAGUUGAAGCUUAAGGCUUAUAUUCCUGAAUUUAAAGUAUUGAGAUCGGGCAUUAUUAAGGAUGUCCCGCAGAGUUUGGACAUGGCAACGAUGAUCAAACACAUGGAAUCAUCGAUAAAGGUAGUUGAUGUUGAGCGUCUUAAUCGAAGGAUCACCGCUGACGGACAAACACAGUUUGCACCAUCUCGCACGCUUAAGUUAAGGUUCGCAGGGCAGUCUUUACCAAAGAAUGUUUACUUGUUUAAGGUUAGACACGAAGUCACACCAUUUUUGCCGAAGACCAGGAUAUGCUACACCUGCUUCAGGGUGGGACAUGUUAGUAGCAGCUGUAAGGGGAAACCACGUUGUAUAACUUGUGGCAAGGAUAAACACACGGAAUCGAAUCCAUGUUUGAUCUUACGAUGGCAUCCACAUCGGUGGCCGCUUGUUCCCAUGCUACAACGCUAUCGGACAACAUGGGUAGCGAUCAUUUCCCAAUAGAGGUCGAAAUCGGAUGUAAUGCUAUUCCGAUCAACCGCUUUGUACAUAAGAUCCAUCUCUCGAAACAGGAGACGAGAAUUUUUGCCAGGAAAUUAGAGAGACAAAGGAACAUGUUGCCUCUAGAGUCUGCAGACGACGCACUUUCCUCAUACGAGGUACUGGUCUCGCUAAUACGAGGUGAGGCUAUGGAAUGCGCUAGCGGUGAGUCCUCUCAUCCCAAGACGAGGACGGUUCUCCCGCGCCGCAGGCCGGCCCCAUGGUGGAACGAUAUUUGUUCUCGUGCGGUGCAACAACGCAAACAGGCAAUGGAAGCUUACAAGCAUCGUCCGACGGCAGAAAAUUACUCCGUUUAUAGAAAGUGUUCCGUGCCAUCGAAAAGGCAUUGGCCAGCAUAUUCUCGUUCCUUAGGGAUAGAGGUUUGGAACUCUCUGCAUCAAAAUCGCAGGGUAUAAUAUUUACGCGAAAAA
rnacentral:misc_RNA from 1 species